AAGGGAGACCUAAUUCAGGUAUGGGACGAAAAAAAAGUAGUCGCUACCAAGAAUCAAUCCCAAAAGGUCGGAGCGAGGUAUGAGGCUUUCAAACUAGGUUCUGGGUUCAAACAAGACCUGAAUCAGGAACAAGGGCUAUUAGCUCAGGUGGUUAGAGCGCACCCCUGAUAAGGGUGAGGUCCCUGGUUCGAGUCCAGGAUGGCCCACCUGCACAGGUGGCAAAAACAAGAGAAGCUCCGAAUCAGCACCUUAUCUUAUCUAUAUAUAAGAGAGAAUGCUGGCUCUGAGUACAGAGUCCAGGGGAACCUUGAAAACUGCAUAGAGCUAGGUGAAAAAGCCAAAAAAGAAGACCGCAA
rnacentral:tRNA from 1 species